UGUUAAAAAUUUCAUUCAUCUGUACUUUUAAAAACUGACAUGAUUGACAGAAUAACCAUACAAUAACAUGUGGUGUGCCACAUUUACCUCAUGUUGACGUACAAAAACCACAUUUUUUACAAUAGAAACGGAUGAAAUUUUUAACA
rfam:Gossypium raimondii Chr11_contig_1087, whole genome shotgun sequence.